rnacentral:rRNA from 1 species
GCCCUUNCUCCUACGGNGAANAGCAGUAGGGAAUCUCCCACAAUGGACGCAAGUCUGAUGGAGCAACGCCGCGUGAGUGAAGAAGGUUUUCGGAUCGUAAAGCUCUGUUGUUGGUGAAGAAGGAUAGAGGUAGCUAACUGGCCUUUAUUUGACGGUAAUCAACCAGAAAGUCACGGCUAACUACGUGCCAGCAGCCGCGGUAAUACGUAGGUGGCAAGCGUUGUCCGGAUUUAUUGGGCGUAAAGCGAGCGCAGGCGGAAGAAUAAGUCUGAUGUGAAAGCCCUCGGCUUAACCGAGGAACUGCAUCGGAAACUGUUUUUCUUGAGUGCAGAAGAGGAGAGUGGAACUCCAUGUGUAGCGGUGGAAUGCGUAGAUAUAUGGAAGAACACCAGUGGCGAAGGCGGCUCUCUGGUCUGCAACUGACGCUGAGGCUCGAAAGCAUGGGUAGCGAACAGGAUUAGAUACCCGUGGUAGUCCAUGCCGUAAACGAUGAGUGCUAAGUGUUGGGAGGUUUCCGCCUCUCAGUGCUGCAGCUAACGCAUUAAGCACUCCGCCUGGGGAGUACGACCGCAAGGUUGAAAACUCAAAGGAAUUGACGGGGGCCCCNCACCNGCGGGUGGNNNNAUGUGGUUUAAUUCGAAGCNAACGCNGAAGANCCUUACCAGGUCUUGAACAUCUAGUGCCAUUUUGUUAGAGAUACAAAGUUCCCCUUCGGG